GACGAACGCUGGCGGCGUGCUUAACACAUGCAAGUCGAACGGUGAAGCGCUUGCCUUUUUGGUGGGUGUGGAUGAGUGGCGAACGGGUGAGUAACACGUUAGUAACCUGCCCUCUUCUUCUGGAUAACCUCAUGAAAGUGGGGCUAAUACGGGGUAUUCCGGGUCUGUCGCAUGGCGGGAUUGGGGAAGAUUGCGCGUUUGGGUGUUUUCGUGUGGGGUUGGGCUCGCGGCCUAGUAGAUUGUUGGUGGGGUGAUGGCCUACCGAGGCGGUGACGGGUAGCCGGGCUGGGAGGGUGAGCGGCCAUGGUGGGGAGGAGCCACGGACCAGCCUCCGGGGGGCGGCAGCGGUGAGGAAUAUUGCACAAUGGGAGCAAGCCUGAUGCAGCGACGCCGCGUGGGAGAUGGCGGCCUUCUGGUUGUGAACCUUUUUCGGGAGAGAAGAGGGGCUGCUUAUGUGUGCGUGGGUUUACGGUAGCUGGAUAAGAAGCGACGGCUAACUACGUG
rnacentral:rRNA from 1 species